ensembl:snRNA U6 U6 spliceosomal RNA
GUGCUCACUUCAGCAGCACAUACACUAAAAUUGAAACAGUACAGAGAUUAGCAUGGCCCCUGCGCAAGGAUGACAUGCAAAUUCGUGAAGCGUUCCUUAUUUUU